ensembl:lincRNA
GUUAGUUUGGGCUAUCUGCAUAAAGAUGAAUUAGUUUGGAAGCCAAAUUUCAUUACUCCUACUACAAAGAUAGGCUCAAUAACAGAUGCAACAAAUUUUAACUAUCAUUUCCGUCGGGAUCACAGAUGGUAUUGACAUGGAAGGCAUCUGUGGCACAGGCCAGUGAAGAGAUGGUUGGCUUCCUCUUCGAGUCAGAGCAAAAGGAUGUGGCAAAAAAGAUCUAAGGAUGCCAUGAGGAAUUCCAUGUGUGCAUGCAGGUCGUGCACCCGGAACACUUUGAAUUAAAGCAGGAAGCCUGAUUCUAAGCCACUAUUGCACUAAGCCCUGGAAAGAAAGAAGUGUGGAAGAAGGGAAGAGGAUGGAAGAAAAACAACCUUUUCUGAGUAAAAAGUUUAGUCUUUCUUCCAGUGUACAGUUUAAAAAUGUGGGCUCAUUGGAAUGAAUUUGAAGGUUAGGUUACAAUUUGCUUACAGCAGAUUUUACGAUUAAACUCAUUGAAUCAGCCUUUUUUUAACCUCUUAAGUGACGUAUACAUGGGAUUAAACAGAAUGAAAUUCAGUUGUUUCUCAACUCACUCUCCUAGCCUCACAUCUGUCAAAAUCAUUGCUGUUUGAUUUUCUUUUCUGCAAAGGCCCCCGAGACACAUUUGCCUUUAAGCGCUUGGGCACUGGUGGGAGCUGCGUGUUCUGGGUGUCUUUAAGUGCACUGGGCUGGGCUAGGCAACGCAGCUCGUGUGUCCCGGGAAAGCUGCAGUCUGCUGAGUGUAAGAUACACACCCAGACCACACCUUCAGAGCCAUGCAAAGCUGGAAGGAGACAGAGAUAAGGUACACUGAAAGGAAGAAAGAAACUCCUCUCUCCAAGCUGCAUCUGCUUGCUCAGGAAAGAGAUGUUUUAUGUGUUGCUACUAAAGGAAAGUGGGAUAUAGAAGAGAACAAGAAGAAAGAGAAGAAAGAAAAGGAAAGAAAAAUCUCUGUGUCAUGCUAGAGCUGCUGCAGCUUCUGAAGAUUCAUUCUUGCAGUCCUAUGGGAAGUCACCAGUUUGUUCUUUCAACAGUGUGCCAAAAGUGGAAAAAGGAAGAGUUUCAGCAACUGUCAACCAGGAAACUUUUUGUUUGUUUAUUUUUAAAAAAGAAGACUUAUCCAGCUAGCCAAGAAAUUUUGUUGAAGUUACAGGCUGUCAUUCUUUAUAAUCGCUCUACUUUCUUUUUCUUUCUGAAUCCUGCAUUUCCAUGGAGGAUGGAUAAUCUUGGGCAUUAUCCUCAUUGGCUCGGCUUAGCUCUGUCCCUUGGGGUCCUGCUGACUCUAUAAACUUUCAACUCCUAAAUCCAAUGCUGGCUCACCCAGGAAAGAAAAAAGCAAACUGAACAAUAAAAUUCAAGCUGUAGCUUCCGUUGUGACUCAAGAAUAGAAAAUGUUAAUGGCCAACAGCAUAUAAAGUGCCACUAAUCACCAAUAAUUUAUUAUUUCCCAGUGGGGUCCCCAAACAAACACCAUCUUGCCCAACUCCAUUACUAUCCAGGAUUGGAAAAGCUUUUCAAAGUUAAUUAUCUGAUUGAAUCUUCACCUAGGGUUGAGCAGUUUGAAAAUUUUUCAUAAAAAUUAAAUAUACCAAAAAGGAGAAAGUAAGUUUCCUUCCUUUCUUUUCUUUCUUAAGUCCCCCUCUUGUCUCUCUUCCUUUCCUUAGCAAGUCUUUGGCUGUGUCAGCUCUUCUAUGCAUGAUUGGUUUGCUGUGACCUAUGGAAAACUCUUACUACUUCAGGAAUUUUAUUUUGCUGGGUUUGGGCUAUAGGAUUUUGUUUUGAGGAAGUCUUAAAAGCUUAUAUUCUAGCCAAAACGUUUUAUUCUUGGAACUGCACAGAUAAAUUAGACCAUUUUGGGAAGGACCUUUGCAGUCACAUUGCCAGGAACAGUUUACAAGUGUAUCCCAAAACAUUAAGUAUUAUUUGGGUGUUCACACAAUAGGUUGAUAGGAUGUUGUUUUUUUCCUCUGCUGUUCUUAAUGCAGUAUAUACGUGGUUGAACGAAUAGUAUAAAUUCAUUUAUUGAUAAUUCUAGGAAUAAAUAGAAUACUUGAUUUGGAGGGCCCUAGUAAGUAUUUAUCAUAACAAACCCACAUUCUUAAUAUCAUACGGAAGAGAGCUUCAUUCUCCUUCAUGUACAAAAGUCGCUUCAAAAGCUUGUAUUGAAGGCCAGUCGUGGUGGCUCACGCCUGUAAUCCUAGCACUUUGGGAGGCUGAGGUGGGUGGAUAGCUUGAGGUCAGGAGUUUGAGACCAGCCUGGCCAACAUAGGAAAACCCUGUCUCUACUAAAAAUACAAAAAUUAGCUGGGUGUGGUGGCAUGCGCCUGUAAUCCCUGCUACUUGGGAGGCUGAGGCAGGAGAGUUACUUGAACCUGAGAAGCAGAGGUUGCAGUGAGCUGUGAUCGUGCCAUUGCACUCCAGCCUGGGUGACAGACUCCAUCCCAAGACAAACAAACAAACAAACAAAAACAAAAAAACUUGUGUUGAUCAGGAAGAGCCCCAAACUCACUCUCUGGUGGACUUAACUUCUGGAGCUAGCUGCACUGGAGUUUAACUAGAAUAUUUGGAAUCUAAAUAAGAAUUUAAAUAAUUACUCAUUUUCUGUGUUGGAGUAACAAUUUUAAUGGUGCACCACAUUUUAAUUUUAUAUACUGCAUUCGAGUAAGGAAUUAAUGGGGAAGAGAACUGCAUUUGUUAAGAGCUACCUACGUGCCAGGAUCCCAGUAUAUUCUCCUUGCAGCCUUGUAGGGUGGGUAUCAGUAUCCCCCUUUCACAGAUGAAGAAAUAAAGGUCUAGGGGGGUUAGGUGACCCAACCAAUGUCAAAAAUGUAACAGCUAGCAGCCUAGGAAGGUCUAUAUUACUCCAAAUCCAUACUCUUUUCCAUGAUAACCUAUUGCCUUCAAAGGGUGAAAAGGCUAAUUUGAUAUCCACCAUUACUGCCUAUGUAGACAGGUAAAUUUCACUGAGAAUAUUAUCCCUUCCGAUGGUCUGUCAAUGAGAGGUGGGAAAGGUCAUUGCCUUUGGAUAACCUGUCUCUUCAGGAAUUUCUAGGAUGAGCAGAGUGUCUUUUCCUCCUCCUCAUUGUGUUGUCCAAGAGUAAUGGGCAGCUUGGAGGGGCAUUCCAGAAUUUCAGCCAUUCCAGAAAUUCCGGUGAAGAAUUUGAGGUGAGGGAGGAUGAAGCAUGUACUGGCACUGUUGUAUCAGGUAUAGUAACACAAUCUUGAAUCAGCCUGAGCUUUCCUAUGAUCUUCAGUUUGUGAUCUUUCCAUAGGGCCUUGAGAGUUAGACGAUCUCAACCCCAUGAUCAGAACAGGUUCAUGGUUGUGUGGGAGUGGUUCCAACUCCACUAUAAUUGUGAAACAUGCAGGCUCAUAUUCUGGGAUACAUGCUUCUCCAGCUGUCAACACCUUGAUUGUUGAACGACUAAAAUUACUUUCAUAUUAAAGACUGUUAAUUCUACAAGGAUCUUUCUCCUGAGAAUGAAACGCACUGUGAGUCAUCUCUGAGAAUUUAGGGGGUAGCAGAACCAACAACUUGACCUGAAUAGGGCUAGAUGAUUAACUAGUCAAAGAGAGGUCAGCCUUUCUUACUGCAAAUUCACUCAAUCUGAAACAUGAUUAUGGUUUGCCAAAGAGAGUACCCUGAGGCAAAGAAGAUCACACAAGGUUGAAGACUAUUAGAAGAACAGGAUUCCAAAAAGAUAUGCUUCUAGUAAGGCCGACUUUGUGGGAGUGCAAACUUGAGCAGUCACAUACACUCUGUACUUUGUUUAAUGCUGUACUCUUGCUGUCUGGUAUUUUUUUUUUUUUUGAGAUCGAGUCUUGCUCUGUCGCCCAGGCUGGAGUUCAGUGGCACGAUCUCAGCUCACUGCAACCUCCGCCUCCUGGGUUCAAGUGAUUCUCCUGCCUCAGCCUCCUGAGUAGCUGGGAUUACAGGCACGCUACCACACCCAAGUAAUUUUUGUAUUUUUAGUAGAGACGGGGUUUCGCCAUGUUGGCCAGGCUCCUGACUUCAGGGUGAUCCGCCCUCCUUGGCCUCCCAAAGUGCUGGGAUUACAGGCGUGAGCCACCGAGCCCUGCCGCUGUCUGGAAAAUUUUAACACUCUUUGAAUAAGGGGCUAUCACGUUUUCAUGUUGCACUGGCCUGCAAAUUAAGCAGCUGGUCUUAGCUGCUAGUAAAAUGAUGAGAACCAUCAGGGAUAAAUAAGACCAGUGAAACUGCACCCAGACGGUGUCUCAGAACAGACCGUGACAAAACAAGCAUUGGCUAUAAGUAGAACUCACCUCACCUGGUUGGUGAGUUUGUUGCCAGCAUUGCAUAGGGCAGAUUUCACAGAAUGGGGAACGACAGGACUACUGGUCAGGGAAGACAGGCAUACUGGGGAAGAGUCCUCAGGGAGUAAAUUAGUAAGGCCCUUUUCCCUCUGGGGUAAUAAAACAGACACAAAGAAGAACUUGCAGGAUUAGACGACUGGGCUAGACUCAAGAAGAGUUAGGACGUACCUGCAAAUUCAGAGUAGGAUAUCCUGAAGUGCAGAAAAUAAAUCUUUAGCUAUUUUUCAUCUUUGUCCCCAAAUAAGUUUCCCAUAGGAAUGCCAUAUUGAUCAAGUUGGAAAGCCCCACACCAGGGACAAAUAUUAUAACAUAGGUUGUAGAAGAUAUUAAAAAUUGGUAAGACUUCACUCUGAGUAUCCUAGAUAAAAAGGGAGUCAGUAAUUACAUACCAAAGAACAUAACUAGGAUAACUCUUCAAUUACUUGAUUUUUUGGGGGUAACUUUUUCAUGUUUAUUAUCAUUAUCUCCAUCUACUUUUCCAUACUAUCUUUAAAAAUGGAAGAACCUGUGUGCUUAUUCUGGGUUAGAACAAGAAAGGGAGGAGGUUGGAGAAUCAUAUUAUACAUUGCAGUCUACCCUGGGGAGAGCUUACCUUGAAGAGAAAAAAAUCAUGGGAUAUAGAGUAGGAGGGGACAGCUUUUUUUUUCUUAAAGCAAGUUAAAUACCUAGGGUGUAUAGGGAGGAAGAAAAGGUCCCUUUGUGACACAGCUGGGGAUGAGCAAGAGG